GGGUCGCUAGCUCAAUUCGGCAGAGCAGGAGCCUCUUAAGCUCAAGGUUCGGGGUUCAAGUCCCCGGCGACCCA
rnacentral:tRNA from 1 species